UUUAAAUGGAUGUUUCUGAUCCUCGGCACUGUUGACUUUUUGGGUUGGAUAAUUCUUUGUUGUGGGGGGCUGUCCUGUGCAUUGUAGGAU